CCCUUAGAUGUUCUGGGCCGCACACGCGUUACACUGAAGGAGGCAGCGUGUACUCCUGGAUCGAAAGAUUUGGGUAACCCGCGAAUCUCCUUCGUGCUAGGGAUUGAGGUUUGCAAUUAUCCUUCAUGAACGAGGAAUUCCCAGUAAGUGCAAGUCAUAAGCUUGCGCUGACUACGUCCCUGCCCUUUGUACACACCGCCCGUCGCUACUACCGAUUGAAUGAUUUAGUGAGGACUUCGGACUGGGACCGAUGCGGCUUUCGGGCUGCGUCGGUAUUCUGGAAAGAUGUCCAAACUGUAUCAUUUAGAGGAAGUAAAAGUCGUAACA
rnacentral:rRNA from 1 species